UUGCAGAAAAACAAGCUAAGGCCUCCCACUCAUUCUACAUUAUGCCUUAGCCGAGAUGUCUCACCCCACUCUCUAUGAUGCAACAAGAAGCCCCUGGGGAACGUUUCAGUCCCAGUCUGUACUAUUGUCAUGUGCUCAUCACAGUCUGCAAGCCAUUUCUUCAACAAGGAGAAAUUAAUUUCAUCCAAAGAGCCCUAAGAGCAAGGGCAGACUCAGAAAAUCAGAGGCACUGUAGUCAGUUUGAGCAGCUUAUGUCUUCAGACUGCUAAGCUGGCCAGUGCCAGGCUGGGUCCCUUUAAUUUCUCAAACACAAAUCGCCCUGCUGGAAUCUCAAGUUGGAUCUGCAGUAGAUCACCAUUAACUCAGCAGCUUGCUUUGUUAACCACCUAAGCUAAAGAUUCUUUUGAGAACAAGGGCUAGCCUGUGGUUUCAUGGCCUUUCUUCCAUUUGGGGUUCUUGCCAAGUGGAAUUUAAAUGACCUCUUAUCAAGAUGGAUAAACCCAAGUUUCCCAGUGCUGGAAUACAGAAAAUGGAUGGACAAGAUGUCUUUUUGUCACUUCCAGCUGGAUCUACCAUGAAAGACGUCAGAGUCCAGGAAGAGAGACUGACUGGGCAACAUGUUAUUCAGAAUUAGAGAAGAUGAUGUGGUGAUGGAAGAAGAGGUCAGAGAGGGAGAUUUGAAGAUGUUGCAGUUCUGGCCUUCAAGAUGGAGUCAGGGGCUAUCUUCAAGAGAGAAGAUCUUGAUCUGUGGCCCAGGCUGCAGUACAGU
rnacentral:lncRNA from 1 species